rfam:Triticum aestivum genome assembly, contig: Triticum_aestivum_CS42_TGACv1_scaffold_019970_1AS
UAUAUACUUUCUUCGUUCCGAAUUACUUGUUGCAGGUAUGGAUGUAUCUAGAUAUAUUUUAGUUUUAGAUACAUUUAUUUUUGCGACGAGUAAUUUGGAACGGAGGGAGUAGUAU